rnacentral:lncRNA from 1 species
GAUGUGGCAACCCAAUGGCCAAGAGGGCAUACGACCAUGUAGAUCCAAAGACUGCCCGCUAUGGGCUCAAGCUUUGUACCUGCAGUCCAUUACACUUCCACCACACAUGGAAACGCCCACCAUUAAAGCUUUUCUAAUCCAAAUGGCGAGCAUCAUCUGCCCCAGCAGGUCGCCAAUUUGACGAACACCCUCGCGCAGUAGACUACCUUGGUGAACCAGUUCCUCGAGCGUAUCGAGAUGCAGCACAUCCCAGAUGAGGUGUCUCGAAGCAGGACAAGGGUGAAAGAACGUGACUCAUUCCAGUGACGUCCUGGCAAAGAGCCACUCAGCCCACAACGAAUCAUGUGUUCAGGUAGUGUGCAUUCUCGUUUGGGCCCUCAGGGAAACGCCUUCUCCUGCCCAGAUGCACUAAGAAGCAUUCAUUCCCGACUCCCCUCACGAGUCAAUGUGUUGGAAGUAUGCCCAUAAAGCCACUCAUUUGAUGUAAUAGCUUUUGGAAUACUUAUUGUAUUAAACUAUUAAAUGUUUAAUGAAGGGCAAAGCUUAUUGUUAAUCACUAUUUAUUGUAUCAUGUGUUUAAGCAAUAAGGGAAUCCAAGGAAUGUAUUUGAUCUAAUAGAUAAGUGAUUUAAGUAAGUUAGAUUAUCGAGACCUUUCUCUUAUGUUCAUUCCUAAAACGUUCCUAGCCAUAGGAUUGCCAAUUGGGCAUUGACAAUCCACUAAGGUUAGUAUGUGUUAUGUCGACUCAAGCGUGAGUAUGACUAGUCUCAUGUCAUUUAGUGUUGGACACUAAGGCAAACACAUAGGUGCUCAAAAGAGUGAUCGAGUACACUGAACAACGAUCAAAAGAGAGUUCGAACAUACAUGUCAUGUAAGAACUCGAAAGUUGCAAUAUGCAAAGUAGUCAUUUGACCUGAGGCAUCAUAGAUGACUAAUGGUUAGGUCCUUGAUCUUUGAUCAUGUCAAAGGCAUUCCAUUGGAGUGUCCACAGCAUUGUUGUGGUCAAGCUACCUAGUCAUGUAGGCAUAUGAAUGCACAACAAGGAAUCUCUAACCUUCC